UACAUAUGGUGGAUGCCUUGGUUUUGAGGAGUCAUUGCUUGAACUUUUUGACCAGGAAAAGCAUGUUGAAGAUUUUUCUUUCACGAAGAUGUUUCAGUUUAAGGACUAGAUUUUUGACCCUUGAUGAAGUACAAGGGAUUGGACAUGCAUGGAGAGAUUCUACAACCUUCACGGGGAAGAGUGGAGCAGAACUUUUGCAGGAACUAAAAGUUGCUCACCGCAUGCCUCUCUCAACUUCUCCUAUUAUCCUUUGUAUCCUCUUGAAGUGCUGCCAGCGUUUCAUCAGCUCUCUGUAUAUAGGCUAUAUCGUCCUGUACUCUUUCUUUUGAGCAGAUAUGACUGCCCACUUUGCACAUAGAAGAAACCGAUCGCCAAUCUCCCCUCCUUAUUGAUAAUACACUGUUGCAUGUUGCUGCGCUUCAAGAUGCCCUAGUUUUUCACUCUUUUAUGUAGCUCAUUCCAGUUCUUGUCUGAGGACGUCAUGGUUCUGCAGUUCCAUGUAUAUUUUCUUGGUAUAUGUAAACAAGAGACGGGGAUAAAGGAAAUCUCCAAUGACAUAAAAAUCCAAAAGAAACUUGUGAUUAGUAGAUGGUGAACUUGCUCAUCCAUCUGCUAACGUAGCCAUUCCUUGACAUCUUUCCCUCAGCUAACUGUUCCCAUUGGACUUCUCGUUUGAGCCAUUAUCUCUUUAACUAUAGAUUUUAUUUAACUGGAGAUUCCCCUCCUAACACUGCUAUGACUUCCUGAUCCACAAACCACUGUGCUCUCUGCUGGAAUCACUUUGCUAUGGGCAGGUUAUUACUUACAGGAAGAGUGGGAGGGGAAGGGAGGGUGAGUGAAGUCAGGAGAAAGAAGAUGAGAGAGUGCACCAAUAGCAAUUGAUUCCGGUGAUGAUGCUACAAAUUUCUUGAUCAAACGGCUAGUAGCUGAAGUCGCUCCUUUGGUGAUGGUGGGGACUACUGUAGAGAAGAAGCGCUGGACUUCUUUGCUAGUUGCUGCUAAACAUUUGGUUGAUAAAUCCAGUGGUAGUGGCAGCGGCGGCUGUGAAAAAUAAGGUAGUGGUUGUUGACGGUGGCAGAUGUGUUGUUGGUUCCCUGGUACGAGCGAGGUUGUUUAUCUUUUGGUGACACCACACUAGCGUGUCCAUGGAUGGAACUGGAACUUACAAAAACAGGGAGGUACGGAGGGUUGGAGGAACUUGCACGUUGAAAGUUUUUUGUUUUUCUAUUUGUACUCACAACCGUGAAGGCCAGAGUUAUUGUGGGCUUUUUGAAAAGAUUGUAAUGGGUUGGAUUUUACUAAAAGGCUCAAAUCACGAUUAGAAAAAUAAGGCCCAACAAAAUUGU